rnacentral:rRNA from 1 species
UACGUAGGGAGCAAGCGUUGUUCGGAUUUACUGGGCGUAAAGGGCGCGUAGGCGGCGCGGUAAGUCACUUGUGAAAUCUCUGAGCUUAACUCAGAACGGCCAAGUGAUACUGCAGUGCUAGAGUGCAGAAGGGGCAAUCGGAAUUCUUGGUGUAGCGGUGAAAUGCGUAGAUAUCAAGAGGAACACCUGAGGUGAAGACGGGUUGCUGGGCUGACACUGACGCUGAGGCGCGAAAGCCAGAGGAGCAAACGGG